AACGAACGCUGGCGGCGCGCCUAAUACAUGCAAGUCGAGCGAGAAGGUGUAGCAAUACACUUGUAAAGCGGCGAACGGGUGAGGAAUACAUGGGUAAUCUACCAUCGAGUGGGGAAUAACCAACCGAAAGGUUGGCUAAUACCGCGUACGCCUCCGAGUCUUCGGGUUCGGAGGGAAAGCUGCACUGUGAGUGUAGCGCUCUUUGAUGAGCUCAUGUCCUAUCAGCUUGUUGGUAGGGUAACGGCCUACCAAGGCUUUGACAGGUAGCUGGUCUGAGAGGACGAUCAGCCACACUGGCACUGCGACACGGGCCAGACUCCUACGGGAGGCAGCAGUAAGGAAUAUUGCGCAAUGGGCGAAAGCCUGACGCAGCGACGCCGCGUGGGGGAUGAAGGUCUUCGGAUUGUAAACCCCUUUCGGAGGGAAGAUGGAGCGAGCAAUCGUUCGGACGGUACCUCCACGAAGCAGCCACGGCCAACUUCGUGCCAGC
rnacentral:rRNA from 1 species